UACGUAGGGUCCGAGCGUUGUCCGGAUUUAUUGGGCGUAAAGAGCUCGUAGGCGGUUUCGUAAGUCGGAUGUGAAAACUCAGGGCUCAACCCGGAGACGCCAUCCGAUACUGCGAUGACUGGAGUCUGGUAGGGGAUCACGGAAUACCUGGUGUAGCGGUGAAAUGCGCAGAUAUCAGGAGGAACACCGGUGGCGAAGGCGGUUCUCUGGGCAUGUUCUGACGCUGAGGAGCGAAAGUGUGGGGAGCGAACAGG
rnacentral:rRNA from 1 species